rnacentral:rRNA from 1 species
UGCGAAUCUCGAAAGCCUGUCUCAGUUCGGAUUGGAGGCUGAAACCCGCCUCCAUGAAGUUGGAUUCGCUAGUAAUCGCGCAUCAGCCAUGGCGCGGUGAAUACGUUCCCGGGUCUUGUACACACCGCCCGUCACACCAUGAGAGUUGGCAACACCCGAAACCUGUGGGCUAACCGAAAGGAGGCAGCAGUCUAAGGUGGGGUCAGUGAUUGGGGUGAAGUCGUAACAAGGUAAC